rnacentral:lncRNA from 1 species
ACACUGCAGGAGAGAGAGAGCUGGUACACUUGAAGUAAGCUCUGUAACAAAGCAGGGAGGAAUUGGAGGCAUCAGAAUCGAGCCGAAUGGAGAUGCAGAGACAAUGUGAAGAGAAUGAGGGGACCAUUGUGAAGCUCCAUGCUGAGAACCAGAGACUGUAGCAGCAGUGUGACUCAGUUUUACAAAAGGUAUCAGUAUUUGAGAACGUGUGUGCAGAGAAGCUCAGGGACAUGGAGGCUCAACUCAACUCAGCAAGGAGAGAGCACACAAAAGCAGGCAGUGGUUCAGGAACAGGGUUUGAUGAAUGAAUAUAAAAGACAAUCAGAAGAUCAGCAAUUCAGACAACCGAGGCCCUGAAACAAAAGCAUCAUCCUCAGUCAGAGAGCAGCAAUCCUUCAACACCUGAAAGUCUGCUGGGGGCACCUGCAGGUUCUUAGUGCUGCAGUAAUGGGCAAUUUAGAGGAAGAGGAUGAUGAGGAGGGUCAGGCCAGGCCUUCACUGUGACACAAACACCCUCUUGUGCUGACACACAUAAAGAAUAGUGCUGAACACACCAAUCAAUUCUCUCUCACACACACUCGCUGUCUGUCCAACCCCUCUCAUGGGGUUUGAUGUCUGUUUUAUAAUUUAAUAAAAUAGAUUUUUAUUGGAAAUUAUCCCAUAUCCUUGAGAGUUAUGAAAAUGAGAAGCUGCCAUUAGUCACAAAAUAAUCAUCUAGGAUGAGUGAUAUCACUGAAACCACCUGUCAUUUUAGAAAAUAAGUUAUUCAUUAUUUAGCAGGAUUUUUUUUCAGAGCAACUCAUAGUUCAUUUACUACAAGGACCACAGAGAAACUUAGCAAUUCCAGUACAGACCCCUUGCAGUGUAUGAUCCUGUGCUAGCAGCACACAACACAUUUACUACAGUUCAAAUGUUUGGGGUCGUUAAGAUUUUUGAAGCCAUUUUCUAUUUUAAUAGAUUUUCAAAUGUAAUUCCUGAUCAUGGCAAAGCUGAAUUUUCAGCAGUCAUUACGCCAGUUUUCAGUGUCACAUAAUCUUUCAGAAACCAUUCUAAUAUGCUUCUUAUUUGGUGAUCAAGAAUCACUUCUUUAUCUUAUUAUUAUUAUUAUUAAUGUUGAAAACAGCUGUGCUACAUUAAUAUUUUCAAAAUUCUAAGUGUUACUGUGACUUUUGACCAUUUUAGUGCAUCCUUGAUUCAUAAAAUUAUUAAUUUCUUGAAAGAAAAAAAAAUCAUACUGGCCCCAAAAUUUUGACCGUUAGUGUAAAUGUGAAGAAAUGUAAGGUAGAACACAACAUAAACUUUUUUUUUAUCUUCAAGUUAAUGGGGCAGUCCAGAUCUUACAUUUUGAGGGAAAAAAAUGUAUUUGGACUCUUUCAUCAAAACAUAAUCUUUGACUAUCGAAAUCACCUUGUUUUACAACCCUUCUCUUUCAUAUGGAAUGCCCAUUUUUCAAUAUCCAGUUGAUACCAAAGGAUAAAAUCCUCACUCCCACACUUUUUUUCUCUCAUUGCGUAUUCCGUUUCACUCUAAAAUAUGUCAGAUUAUGACAGUAAAUGGGUUGUGACAUUGUUUCAUGUUGUGUGUUUAACCACUUUGUCCUUCCUGUCAUAUAUUUCCUUGAUAUGUUCUUAAAUGGAUACACUCAGGUUUUAGAGUGCAGAGUGUAUCCAUUAAAAUUUAAACUCACCUUCAGAGAACUUUUGGAGUACUGCUUGUAUUUCAGCCUGAGAGAAAUGCAUCACUUACUGACUGCUUGAUACAUCUCUUCCUAGUUGGGCAGGUAUGUCUGUAUUUUUCUGUUUUGGAACACACUUCUCUCUCAUUCACCUUCUUACUGGUGCUGUUUGGGAUGUAUAAUCCACUGAAGGGCUAAAAUUACAGGUGUACUUGAGAGGCCAUAAAAAUCCCUGUUUGUGACUCUCCAUUUAAGUAGAAAGGGUUGGAGUGGAAAGUGACAAGUAAGUUAUAGAUAUUGUGAGUGUGAUGUUCUUGCUGUGUGAUUGUAGUAUUGAAGAAAUUACUUUGAAAGGGUGAUUUGUAUGCUUUGCUCAUUGUUGUUUUUUUUCCUGCUCCAGUGCUUUCUAAUAGAGAGUCAUUUUUAUGUAGGCGUUUGUGUUUCAGUCAGUCAGAGUUCAUCAGAAGACACUAAUAAUGUUUUAUUUAAUGGCUGACUGCAGAAAUUACAUAAUUUCGCAGGCCAACCCAAAAGUUGCCAUCACACAAAAAGCUUAUAGGGUUUUUACAUGAGCUUUUAGAUUAUUGCAGAAAAAAAAAAGCUCUGUGACCAACAAACGUUUGAUUCUUUCAUGUUUUGAACACAAUUUUUAUGAAAGUUGAAGCCUAAAUACAGUUGAACUACAUCACAGCCCAUGACAUCAACAUCACCACUACUAAGCCCCUGACAGCUCUUUCAAACUUUAUAAUAAACAAGAUGCAAAUUUUUAAUUAUAAUAAUUUGCAAGAGCAAGAAUAUAAAAACAAAUGAGGCUGUAAAAGUGGACUGGUGAAAUUAAUGUCUAAGCUCUAUAGUCCCAUUUAGCAACUUGUUAAAAGCGGGCCUUUUUAAAAACGUGUGAGUGGAAGAAUACUAAUGCAUUUGAUGUCGUAAAAAUAAAAGAUAAAAAAAUAUUGACCUUUUACUCACCACAGACCUUAUAUCAGGCAUUUAACCAAAAACCUCAUUUACUUUAUGCAUUUAGCAAGCGCUGUUAUCCAAAGCGACUAAAAGCAAUAUUUGUCAUUUAAAAUGUAAAAAUUUAUUAAAGUUCAAAAAUGCUGACUUGUUUUCAGGUUUUUAGGAUUCCUGCAGUGAUCUGUGGAGAGAUACUUUUUGUGUCCAGAUGGUUUACUUACGCCAUCUACCAGAAGGGUCAUUCUAACCAGCCAAACUUUGACCCUAACCCUCAUCACUUCUCUUCCUAUUUGUGAUGUUAAGUCUUUGUCUUAUGCUCAAACUUUUCAUUUUCCCUAAAGACACACACUCUGCAUUUCCCUCAAUGAAAAGUGACAUUACUCAUGUAACCGUUUUGCUGAACUGCUGCUGGCGUUUGUGCAUUUCUUAAAGGACAAGCAGCUGACAUACAAGAUUUGAAUGGAUAUGUACUGAAUGCUUGGAAGUGUGUGCAUUAGUGGGAGAUUUGUGACCCCCACUAAACAUGCCAUUCAUGGCUGUAAAUAACUGAUUUGUAAUGUCAAGUUGUUGGUGUGAUCACU